rnacentral:rRNA from 1 species
UACGUAGGCAGCAAGCGUUGUCCGGAAUUAUUGGGCGUAAAGAGCUCGUAGGCGGUGUGUCACGUCGGCCGUGAAAACCUGCAGCUUAACUGUGGGCGUGCGGUCGAUACGGGCAGACUAGAGUACUGCAGGGGAGACUGGAAUUCCUGGUGUAGCGGUGGAAUGCGCAGAUAUCAGGAGGAACACCGGUGGCGAAGGCGGGUCUCUGGGCAGUAACUGACGCUGAGGAGCGAAAGCGUGGGGAGCGAACAGG